UUUCAGAGAGAGAUAACUUAGAGAUAAAGAGAUUUUUUAUUAGAAGCCAUGGAUCUAGUCGGAAAAAUAUAAAGAUCUUACUUGGAUGGCUAAGGAUGGCCUGAGAACGGCAUGAAAAGUCCAUGGGUGUGAGUUGAACAGGCUUUGGUACCCUUGAGGACCUCAAGGUAGCAAUGAUUCGGCAUGUGAGGAGCUGUGGAGGCUAGGGAUGGUGGUUGAGCCACCAUUGCCACCGGCGUGCCAACGGCCGGCGGGAGGAGCUUAGGGUUUAGCAGACAGAGAUGAGAGGAUGUAAGGG
rnacentral:lncRNA from 1 species